rnacentral:tRNA from 1 species
GCGGGAGUAGCUCAUUCGGUAGAGCGCAGCCUUGCCAAGGCUGAGGUGGCGGGUUCGAGCCCCGUUUCCCGCUCCA